AUUGAACGCUAGCGGCAGGCCUAACACAUGCAAGUCGAACGGAGUGGCGGACGGGUGAGUAAUGUCUGGGAACCUGCCUGAUGGAGGGGGAUAACGACCGGAAACGGGCGCUAAUACCGCAUACUAUUAGAUGGGCCUAGGUCGGAUUAGCUAGUUGGUGGGUGAAAGGCCGACCAAGGCGACGAUCCGUAGCUGGUCUGAGAGGAUGAUCAGCCACACUGGAACUGAGACACGGUCCAGACUCCUACGGGAGGCAGCAGUGGGGAAUAUUGGACAAUGGGCGAAAGCCUGAUCCAGCCAUGCCGCGUGUGUGAAGAAGGCCUUCGGGUUGUAAAGCACUUUUAGCAGGGAGGCGUUACCAGCAGAAUAAGCACCGGCUAACUCCGUGCCAGCAGCCGCGGUAAUAC
rnacentral:rRNA from 1 species